AUUGAACGCUGGCGGCAUGCCUUACACAUGCAAGUCGAACGGCAGCACGGGAGCAAUCCUGGUGGCGAGUGGCGAACGGGUGAGUAAUAUAUCGGAACGUGCCCAGUAGUGGGGGAUAACUGCUCGAAAGAGCAGCUAAUACCGCAUACGACCUGAGGGUGAAAGGGGGGGAUCGCAAGACCUCUCGCUCUUGGAGCGGCCGAUAUCAGAUUAGCUAGUUGGUGGGGUAAAGGCCUACCAAGGCAACGAUCUGUAGUUGGUCUGAGAGGACGACCAGCAACGCUGGAACUGAGCCACGGCCCAGACUCCUACCGGAGGCAGCAGUGGGGAAUUUUGGACAAUGGGCGCAAGCCUGAUCCAGCAAUGCCGCGUGCAGGAAGAAGGCCUUCGGGUUGUAAACUGCUUUUGUCAGGGAAGAAAUCCUCUAGGUUAAUACCCUUGGGGGGAUGACGGUACCUGAAGAAUAAGCACCGGCUAACUACGUGCCAGCAGCCGCGGUAAUAC
rnacentral:rRNA from 1 species